UCCCCGUUCACCGGGGCAGUCCCCUCAGAGUGCCCGGCAUGACCCGGUAGCAACAAAGGGCAAGGGUUGCGCUCGUUGCGGGACUUAACCCAACACCUCACGGCACGAGCUGACGACAGCCGUGCAGCACCUGUGCACGCUCCCUUGCGGGUCCCUCGGGUUUCCCCUCAGUACCACGUGCAUGUCAAGCCCGGGUAAGGUUCUUCGCGUUGCAUCGAAUUAAACCACACGCUCCGCUGCUUGUGCGGGCCCCCGUCAAUUCCUUUGAGUUUUAGCCUUGCGGCCGUAGUCCCCAGGCGGGGUGCUUACUGCGUUAGCUGCGGCACCGCGGGGGUCGAUACCCCUCACGUCUAAUGUGCAUCGUUUACGGCUAGGACUAC
rnacentral:misc_RNA from 1 species